rnacentral:rRNA from 1 species
UACGUAGGGGGCAAGCGUUGUCCGGAAUUAUUGGGCGUAAAGCGCGUGUAGGCGGCUUGGUAAGUCUGGUGUGAAAUCUUGGGGCUCAACCCCAAGCCUGCACUGGAUACUGCCUGGCUAGAGUCCGGGAGGGGAGAGCGGAAUUCCCAGUGUAGCGGUGAAAUGCGCAGAUAUUGGGAAGAACACCGGUGGCGAAGGCGGCUCUCUGGAACGGUACUGACGCUGAGACGCGAAAGCGUGGGGAGCGAACAGG